AGAGUUAGAGAAGCAUUCGUGAUAAUUCUUCAAACGAAGGUAUCCAGCAGCCUCGGCAUGUUUGGGAGAUGAAGAAGGGAAGGUGUUUGUCCUUGGUCCCCUGUUCUCGUCCUGCAGAUGAGAGGGCUUUCUUUGCUUAUUUUUAUUUCCCUCUGGGCAUAUCUGAAAAAUGGCUGAAAUCCCAG